CGCGGCCUAUCAGCUUGUUGGUGAGGUAACGGCUCACCAAGGCGACGACGGGUAGCUGGUCUGAGAGGACGAUCAGCCACACUGGGACUGAGACACGGCCCAGACUCCUACGGGAGGCAGCAGUGGGGAAUCUUGCGCAAUGGGCGAAAGCCUGACGCAGCAACGCCGCGUGCGGGAUGAAGGCCUUCGGGUUGUAAACCGCUUUCAGUAGGGACGAACUCAGACGGUACCUACAGAAGAAGCACCGGCCAACUACGUGCCAGCAGCCGCGGUAACACGUAGGGUGCAAGCGUUGUCCGGAAUCAUUGGGCGUAAAGAGCUCGUAGGCGGCUUAGUAAGUCGGGUGUGAAACCUCCAGGCUCAACCUGGAGACGCCACCCGAUACUGCUAUAGCUAGAGUCCAGUAGGGGAGUGCGGAAUUCCCGGUGUAGCGGUGAAAUGCGCAGAUAUCGGGAGGAACACCAGCGGCGAAGGCGGCACUCUGGGCUGGAACUGACGCUCAGGAGCGAAAGCGUGGGUAGCGAACAGGAUUAGAUACCCUGGUAGUCCACGCCGUAAACGUUGGGCACUAGGUGUGGGGUCUAUUCAACGGACUCCGUGCCGUAGCUAACACAUUAAGUGCCCCGCCUGGGGAGUACGG
rnacentral:rRNA from 1 species